GAGGGUUUAGCUCAAGCAGCAGAGAGCAUGCUUAGCAUGCAUGAGGGCCUGGGUUCAAUCCCCAGUCCCUCC
rnacentral:tRNA from 1 species